AACCGGCUCGAAGCGAGCCUUCGAGUUGUCAGUUUUGCGGUCCACACGGUGGUUAUUGCUCGAUUUGGAGUAAAACGUUCGAGCAAAACCGUGUGUGAGUACUAAGCAUUAAGCUAAAAAGUAUG